CUGGCCAAAGAAACAUGCUGAGCAGCAGAGUCUAGGGAUAGAAAUGGAAACCAUAAGGGCAAGUGGAUUUGGUAGAAAAUUAAUAUGGAGAUGAGCAACCACACGCUGUUUAUAGGGCCUUUACAGUCUCAAUGGAUUAGGAAAGAACUGUUCUAGAAAAGAACAGGGCUUAGCUAUUCUAGACAAGAAUGCUAUAGUCUUUCCACUGUUCUACCCAGCCUCCCUUUCUGGGAUCGUUGGACGACAUCCCUCACUCGCAUCUUCCCUUCAGACUCUCCUAGCUUCCAGUAUUUUGAUUCCUUGACUAUUUCCCAGUUCUGCUAGCUUCGAUGAUAUUGGCAUUUCCCACUGCCUCAAGUGAGAAUUUACACACAUGGCUAACAACCUCCUGACCUGUCCCAGAUCAACAAUUCCCCAAUCCUUCAGUCACCAUCACCUUCUAAGAGGUGGGAGAUUCUUGAUAGAAAGAACCAAGCAAGCCAGUUGCUUCAGAUCUCAAGAUCAUUUCUUUGCUGCACAAGCCACCAUACACUGUCUCUGUUCCAGUCUGUUGUUCCCUUUCAGACUGUGUUAUUGUACUUGGCAAAUCCAUGCAAGCUGACAUGGGAGCCUUGUAACAAAGUCCACUGGUAUUUGCUUCCAUGCUGGGAAUUCCUCCAGGCUAUAGUCCUUUCUUUCCCCUUUGCUUCUACUUAUUCAUUGGCUCACCUUGUUUUCUUAUCCAUACUGAUUCCAUACCUUGGCACCCCUCUAGGACAGCGAGGGGACCAGGCACUCUAUCUGGGUCUCUCUAGGAUGCUACCCUACUCAGCCACCUUUGUUCCAUUUUAUCUUAUCAGCAGAGGGUAAUCAAAAUUCCCGUUUGUUUUUUUCCCUAUGGUAUUUCUUGCUGCUUACCUGACUAUUUGAUAUUAUGUAUGUGCAUACUCAGUCGGGUCCAACUCUUUGUGACCCCAUGGACCGUAGCCCACCAGGCUCCUCUGUCCAUGAAAUUCUCCAGGCAAAUAUACUGGAGUGGGUAGCCAGCCAUUCCCUUUUCCAGGGGAUCUUCCUGACCCAGGGAUCAAACUCUUUAUUUCCUGAAUUGUAGGCCAAUUCUUUACUGGGGAAGUCCCUAGUUGAUAUUCUCUUUCCUAAAAGUAAUGCUCAAAAUUAUCCAAGCCAAGCUUCAACCAUAUGUGAACCAUGAAUUUCCAGAUGUUCAAGCUGGAUUCAGAGAAGGCAGAGGGACCAGAGAUUAAACUGCCAACA
ensembl:lncRNA